GAGGGAAACCGAGUCUUAACCGGGCGUUAAGUUGCAGGGUAUAGACCCGAAACCCGGUGAUCUAGCCAUGGGCAGGUUGAAGGUUGGGUAACACUAACUGGAGGACCGAACCGACUAAUGUUGAAAAAUUAGCGGAUGACCUGUGGCUGGGGGUGAAAGGCCAAUCAAACCGGGAGAUAGCUGGUUCUCCCCGAAAGCUAUUUAGGUAGCGCCUCGUGAAUUCAUCUCCGGGGGUAGAGCACUGUUUCGGCUAGGGGGCCAUCCCGGCUUACCAACCCGAUGCAAACUGCGAAUACCGGAGAAUGUUAUCACGGGAGACACACGGCGGGUGCUAACGUCCGUCGUGAAGAGGGAAACAACCCAGACCGCCAGCUAAGGUCCCAAAGUCAUGGUUAAGUGGGAAACGAUGUGGGAAGGCCCAGACAGCCAGGAUGUUGGCUUAGAAGCAGCCAUCAUUUAAAGAAAGCGUAAUAGCUCACUGGUCGAGUCGGCCUGCGCGGAAGAUGUAACGGGGCUAAACCAUGCACCGAAGCUGCGGCAGCGACACUGUGUGUUGUUGGGUAGGGGAGCGUUCUGUAAGCCUGUGAAGGUGUGUCGUGAGGCAUGCUGGAGGUAUCAGAAGUGCGAAUGCUGACAUAAGUAACGAUAAAGCGGGUGAAAAGCCCGCUCGCCGGAAGACCAAGGGUUCCUGUCCAACGUUAAUCGGGGCAGGGUGAGUCGACCCCUAAGGCGAGGCCGAAAGGCGUAGUCGAUGGGAAACGGGUUAAUAUUCCCGUACUUGGUGUUACUGCGAAGGGGGGACGGAGAAGGCUAUGUUGGCCGGGCGACGGUUGUCCCGGUUUAAGCGUGUAGGUGUGUGUUCCAGGUAAAUCCGGUUCACUUUAACACUGAGGCGUGACGACGAGGCACUACGGUGCUGAAGCAACAAAUGCCCUGCUUCCAGGAAAAGCCUCUAAGCAUCAGGUAACAUCAAAUCGUACCCCAAACCGACACAGGUGGUCAGGUAGAGAAUACCAAGGCGCUUGAGAGAACUCGGGUGAAGGAACUAGGCAAAAUGGUGCCGUAACUUCGGGAGAAGGCACGCUGACACGUAGGUGAAGUGAUUUACUCAUGGAGCUGAAGUCAGUCGAAGAUACCAGCUGGCUGCAACUGUUUAUUAAAAACACAGCACUGUGCAAACACGAAAGUGGACGUAUACGGUGUGACGCCUGCCCGGUGCCGGAAGGUUAAUUGAUGGGGUCAGCGCAAGCGAAGCUCCUGAUCGAAGCCCCGGUAAACGGCGGCCGUAACUAUAACGGUCCUAAGGUAGCGAAAUUCCUUGUCGGGUAAGUUCCGACCUGCACGAAUGGCGUAAUGAUGGCCAGGCUGUCUCCACCCGAGACUCAGUGAAAUUGAACUCGCUGUGAAGAUGCAGUGUACCCGCGGCAAGACGGAAAGACCCCGUGAACCUUUACUAUAGCUUGACACUGAACAUUGAGCCUUGAUGUGUAGGAUAGGUGGGAGGCUUUGAAGUGUGGACGCCAGUCUGCAUGGAGCCGACCUUGAAAUACCACCCUUUAAUGUUUGAUGUUCUAACGUGGACCCGUUACCCGGGUUGCGGACAGUGUCUGGUGGGUAGUUUGACUGGGGCGGUCUCCUCCUAAAGAGUAACGGAGGAGCACGAAGGUUGGCUAAUCCUGGUCGGACAUCAGGAGGUUAGUGCAAUGGCAUAAGCCAGCUUGACUGCGAGCGUGACGGCGCGAGCAGGUGCGAAAGCAGGUCAUAGUGAUCCGGUGGUUCUGAAUGGAAGGGCCAUCGCUCAACGGAUAAAAGGUACUCCGGGGAUAACAGGCUGAUACCGCCCAAGAGUUCAUAUCGACGGCGGUGUUUGGCACCUCGAUGUCGGCUCAUCACAUCCUGGGGCUGAAGUAGGUCCCAAGGGUAUGGCUGUUCGCCAUUUAAAGUGGUACGCGAGCUGGGUUUAGAACGUCGUGAGACAGUUCGGUCCCUAUCUGCCGUGGGCGCUGGAGAACUGAGGGGGGCUGCUCCUAGUACGAGAGGACCGGAGUGGACGCAUCACUGGUGUUCGGGUUGUCAUGCCAAUGGCACUGCCCGGUAGCUAAAUGCGGAAGAGAUAAGUGCUGAAAGCAUCUAAGCACGAAACUUGCCCCGA
rnacentral:rRNA from 2 species